CGUGGUGCAUCCUAUACCUUUACCUUCCGCUGCCGUGUCUCUGUCGCCUGCGGAUGCGGUCCAUGCUCCGCUAGCGAAGGAGGGAGGGCUGCAGCCGCACGGUCCCGGACCCCCGGCGGCGCAUGUUCUUGGUGGCGCCGAAGACCAUGGGCCGCGUGGUCUACCGCGGCUGCGAGCGGCACGCCCUGUGGAAGCAGCGGGCGGGGUGGCUGUAGGAUCAGCGGUGGGACGGGUUCAGGCCGUGGUGCACCGAGUUCCGCGAGCACAAGCGGUAGCGCGUGGCGGCGCACGUGUGGGGCCAUCGCCUGCCGUGCCCCGUUGCCGCGGUGGGCGAGGACCCGAGGUCGGGGGUGCUGGAGCAGGGGAAGGACGUGAUGCAGAUGCUCUUCGUGGCCAGCCGGCGCCAGGGCGAGGACCUCCGCUACGGCCGCGGCGCGCAGGACCGGCACGUGCGCGGCGACAGCCGCGACGGCCGCAGGCACCGGCCCAGGCCGACGGCGCAGCACAUGUACACGGCCCUGGGGUUCCUGCGCGAGCAGAGAGAGACCGUGAUGGAGGCCUUUCGGUUGGCAGGACCGCGGUGGCGCCGCAGCGAGCUCCUCGACGAGCGCCGCAAGACGCUGCCGCAGAGCGGCAAGCCCGGCCGCACCCUCGUGCACCGGCUCAUGACCUCCCUCUCGAACCGCGCCGGCCUCGUCCAGUACAAGGAGGCCAUGCUCGUGGAGUUCCUCCUGUGCUACCCCUCGCACUUCGCCGAGCGGCUCAAGGAGCCGACGGGCAAGUGCCCGCUCCUCCACCGGCCCCCGCAGGGGCUCCGGCACCGCCGCGACACACCGUAUCUCGCCUACUCCUCGCACCUCCGCUUGGCGUGGCCGCUCAUGCCCCAAGUGACCUUCAAGUCGUUGAGGCGUAAGAAGUCCUUACCCCUCCAACCCCUGACCUUCGUCGUGUACUGCCGGCUCUACCGCGUCUCUUAGCUGCCGUAGUACCUACUACCCGGGGCGUAUUUUACUGGUCUUACGGGCACGAGGGUCUAGCAACUGGUCCUUGUCCUCUCCUCGAGCCAGCGAGCAGAGUAGGGGAAGGAGACCGGCCGUCGUUGCGGUCCUCUGGUGCCGCCGAUGAGUUGCCGCAGCGCGAACCACCAGGAGCUGCUGGCUGCCGGGACCAGCAGGCGCCGCUGAUGUAGGGCCGCUCCAGCAAGGCCACCAGGAGCUCGGCGUACCGACGACGGAGGUACGUCCAGAAGCCGUCGUUCCCGGCGGCCGGAGCAUGCCGACGACGAGGCGCUGCGCAGAGAUCGACGUGGUACGUCGGUCUCGGACGUUGAAAGAAAAGAAGAGGAAAAACUGUAAGAAUCUUGGACGUAGAACUAAGUAGAGAAGAAACGUACCUACCUACGCAGUCAUGCUUGACGUUGAACACUAAGAUACAAGUCUUGUAGUUAAACCUGUUAUUAAUUAGUUAAGUAAUGUAAUUAACAAGGGAGCGGCCACGAGGGAAAGGACCGGCGGCGACGAGGAAGACGAAAACGCCGAACGGCGACGAGGAGGAGAGACAUCGUGUCGGGACCGCGGGUGCGAGCACACGCGAAGAGGGCCGUUGACCCUCGGUCGAGUGAGAAUCGUUGCCCCUCCCGCGGUGGAGAUGUGACGAUGGACCUCUGCGUAGCCGGAGGAAGCACGGUGCCCGCAGCCCACCCGUGCCCAACCGACAGUUGGAACAGUCCCCCGUCCCUCGUCGUGCUCGUUGUUCCUGCCGCCCCUCGUCGUGUCGACACGGUGGUUGCCGUAGACCAUGAGGCUGCCGCCGCCGCUUGGCCAAGUGGGGGAGGGCUAAACUGAAGUUGCCACUUAACCGACCGACGUGACCAGUUUGAUCGUGUUUUCCCAUCAAAGCAGGUGACAAAAUAUACAGAUAAUACAAUUAGUAAUCGUUCAUAACAAAAACACACUUUUUCACCGUUUUCUACUUUCAGAUUACAUUUCUCACCGUUGACUAGUUAAUGUUACAUUCCUCACCGUUUAACAGUUUCAAGUUUCAUUAACUACCGUUUUUU
rnacentral:rRNA from 1 species